UUACGAAAUGCGGAGCCAACGUGUAAAGUGGCAGUGUCGCCAGAAACUACGGUCCUGAAACUGCAGUCUCCAGUUCUGCAGGAACAUUUAACUCAGAAUUUCCUCCAGUGAAGAAAUCACUUUUUUUUGUUUAAAAGUAUUUCCGACAAAGAAAGGGGUAAGACCAGCGUACAGGCAGACUGGCAAUGAGGACUUCUGGCUGAAACCCCGGUCGGCCGGUGGUUCAUGCACUUUACCGGCUCCAAUAACUCCAAGGCUGAAGUUCUUACCCAAUCCUACCUUAGAGCCAAUUAUGGUCUGGAUUUACCGAGAUGGAGGGACCUACUAGCUGCUAAAGGACUCCAGCUUGACUCAGAACUGGCUUUUCUUCUCCAAAGUGCGCUCUUGACCUAUGGCUGAAGGAGUCCCAGCCACUUUGCAGUGACAGUCCAAACGGAUUGACUCGUGCGAACGACCUUGUCCAUCCCCUCUGGACAUCUGUACACUCACUCAGCGUGGACAAUCAAUCCAGCUUUUUAAGUGCAUGCCGUGCCGUCGGUCACCAUGAGAGGGAGCUGAGAUACUCUUUAAUCUCCUGGAACAAAUCGUCCUCCACUCACCUCCCCCCUCCGCUACCUGCUCACCACUUCAUCAAAACCACGGGCACCAAAAUGGCGAGGGAUCCAUCAACUUCCCACGCUGAGAGAUGAUGUCAUCAGCGAGGGACAUGUCCUGGGGGAUUGUUGCUGAUGGCUGACAUGGAUCAGAAACACAUAGCAGAGCGACAGGCGUUUCUGCUGGAAAUGAGUGAUUUGGACUUUUGUUUCUCCUUGACCAACACUCUGCACCCCCCCCCCC